UGGAAGAGGAAAGUCAAAACAUAGGGGAGAGAAAACAGGGGGGCGUUCUCUUCGCAAAAGGAGGGAGGAGGAAUCGGAUAAAAAUUAGCACCUAAGAGCUAAAGGGGCAAGAAAAACACAAAAGGAGGAGCCGAGCUUUCUCUUUUUCCUAACCACACACGCAUCUUCUUCCCUUCUCAUUUUUCACCAUUAAUGUCAAAGCCCACAAUUAAGCUCGUCAUCUUCACACAAAAUUAGUAGCUUUCUUCUACUCCCCUUAUUCACCAGCUACUGGUUUCAACCACAAAAAACAGUCAAACAACCUCUCAAACCGAGUAAAAAACCAGCAGGAAAAACCCAAUUUUUGGUAUUUCAAAUUUGAGCGAAAAAUAGUACAAAAAAAAGGGGUCUCCGGUGGGAUCACGUUUGAGUUCCGACGGCUUGUCUUUGUUUGAGUCCAUACGGCAUCGAUAUUAGCUGUUGUAACUUCAUUGGAGGAGUUUGCUAAUAAAGGAAUAUUUGUUGUUGUUAAAGUGUGGGGUCCAUUCCAUGAAUGUGAAAGGAAGACAAACCUCCUUUGACAUAAAGUACCAUGCUGCCAAAUCUACAGGAAAUGUGAUUUGGGUUGGCAGAUUUUUUAUUGCUUUCACAAGGUGAAAGUUUGACAUUUAUAUUAUGAUAAUGUCAUCCAUGAUGCAAGCAAGGAGAAUUAGACGUCUAUAAAUAGAUAGCUCCUGAUUCAGUUGAAGAUACACAAAACAAAGAGAGAAAGAAAGAGUGAGGUUUCACAGACAAGGUAUUAG